rnacentral:rRNA from 1 species
UACGUAGGGGACGAGCGUUGUCCGGAAUUACUGGGCGUAAAGGGCGCGCAGGCUGUAGAUCAAGUCAGCUGUGAAAUGUCUGGGCUUAACUCGGGCAUGCGGUUGAAACUGAUGUACUGGAGUGCUGUAGAGGCAAGUGGAAUUCCCAGUGUAGCGGUGAAAUGCGUAGAUAUUGGGAAGAACACCGGUGGCGAAGGCGACUUGCUGGGCAGCAACUGACGCUGAGGCGCGAAAGCCAGGGGAGCAAACGGGAUUA